GAUGAACGCUGGCGGCGUGCCUAAUACAUGCAAGUCGAGCGAACAGACGAGGAGCUUGCUCCUCUGACGUUAGCGGCGGACGGGUGAGUAACACUUGGAUAACCUACCUAUAAGACUGGUAUAACUUCGGGAAACCGGAGCUAAUACCGGAUAAUAUAUUGAACCUCAUGGUUCAAUAGUGAAAGACGGUUUUGCUGUCACUUAUAGAUGGAUCCGCGCCGCAUUAGCUACUUGGUAAGGUAACGGCUUACCAAGGCAACGAUGCGUAGCCGACCUGAGAGGGUGGUCGGCCACACUGGAACUGAGACACAGCCCAGACUCCGACAGGAGGCAGCAGUAGGGAAUCUUCCGCAAUGGGCGAAAGCCUGACGGAGCAACGCGGCGUGAGUGAUGACGGUCUCCGGAUCGGAAAACUAUGUUAUUAGGGAAGAAGAAAUGUGUAAGCAACUAUGCACGUCUUGACGGUACCUAAUCAGAAAGCCACGGCUAACUACGUG
rnacentral:rRNA from 1 species